UACGAAGGUCCCAAGCGUUGUUCGGAAUCACUGGGCGUAAAGGGAGCGUAGGCGGCGUGGUAAGUCAGAUGUGAAAUCCCGGGGCUCAACCCCGGAACUGCAUCCGAUACUGCCAUGCUAGAGGAUUGGAGAGGUAGCUGGAAUUCUUGGUGUAGCAGUGAAAUGCGUAGAGAUCAAGAGGAACACUCGUGGCGAAAGCGAGCUACUGGACAAUUCCUGACGCUGAGGUUCGAAGGCUAGGGUAGCGAAAGGG
rnacentral:rRNA from 1 species